GACGAACGCUGGCGGCGUGCCUAACACAUGCAAGUCGAGCGAAUGAAGUUCCUUCGGGAAUGGAUUUAGCGGCGGACGGGUGAGUAACACGUGGGCAACCUGCCUCAUAGAGGGGAAUAGCCUUCCGAAAGGGAGAUUAAUACCGCAUAAGAUUGUAGUACCGCAUGGUGUAGCAAUUAAAGGAGCAAUCCGCUAUGAGAUGGGCCCGCGGCGCAUUAGCUAGUUGGUGAGGUAACGGCUCACCAAGGCGACGAUGCGUAGCCGACCUGAGAGGGUGAUCGGCCACAUUGGAACUGAGACACGGUCCAAACUCCUACGGGAGGCAGCAGGGGGGAAUAUUGCACAAUGGGGGAAACCCUGAUGCAGCAACGCCGCGUGAAGGAUGAAGGCCUUUGGGUCGUAAACUUCUGUUCUAAGGGAAGAUAGUGACGGUACCUUAGGAGCAAGUCCCGGCUAACUACGUGCCAGCAGCCGCCGUAA
rnacentral:rRNA from 1 species